AGAGUUUGAUCCUGGCUCAGGAUGAACGCUAGCGAUAGGCUUAACACAUGCAAGUCGAGGGGCAGCAUGAUCUUAGCUUGCUAAGGUUGAUGGCGACCGGCGCACGGGUGCGUAACGCGUAUGCAACUUGCCUUACAGAGGGGGAUAACCCGUUGAAAGACGGACUAAAACCGCAUACACUUGUAUUAUUGCAUGAUAUUACAAGGAAAUAUUUAUAGCUGUAAGAUAGGCAUGCGUCCCAUUAGCUAGUUGGUGAGGUAACGGCUCACCAAGGCGACGAUGGGUAGGGGAACUGAGAGGUUUAUCCCCCACACUGGUACUGAGACACGGACCAGACUCCUACGGGAGGCAGCAGUGAGGAAUAUUGGUCAAUGGGCGAGGGCCUGAACCAGCCAAGUCGCGUGAAGGAAGACAGUCCUAAGGAUUGUAAACUUCUUUUAUACGGGAAUAACGGGCGAUACGAGUAUUGCAUUGAAUGUACCGUAAGAAUAAGCAUCGGCUAACUCCGUGCCAGCAGCCGCGGUAAUACGGAGGAUGCGAGCGUUAUCCGGAUUUAUUGGGUUUAAAGGGUGCGUAGGUUGUUCGGUAAGUCAGCGGUGAAACCUGAGCGCUCAACGUUCAGCCUGCCGUUGAAACUGCCGGGCUUGAGUUCAGUGGCGGCAGGCGGAAUUCGUGGUGUAGCGGUGAAAUGCAUAGAUAUCACGAGGAACUCCGAUUGCGAAGGCAGCUUGCCAUACUGCGACUGACACUGAAGCACGAAGGCGUGGGUAUCAAACAGGAUUAGAUACCCUGGUAGUCCACGCAGUAAACGAUGAUUACUAGGAGUUUGCGAUAUACCGUCAAGCUUCCACAGCGAAAGCGUUAAGUAAUCCACCUGGGGAGUACGCCGGCAACGGUGAAACUCAAAGGAAUUGACGGGGGCCCGCACAAGCGGAGGAACAUGUGGUUUAAUUCGAUGAUACGCGAGGAACCUUACCCGGGAUUGAAAUGUAGAUGACGGAUGGUGAAAACCGUCUUCCCUUCGGGGCGUCUAUGUAGGUGCUGCAUGGUUGUCGUCAGCUCGUGCCGUGAGGUGUCGGCUUAAGUGCCAUAACGAGCGCAACCCACAUCGGUAGUUGCUAACAGU
rnacentral:rRNA from 1 species